UAGGGAAUUUUCCACAAUGGACGAAAGUCUGAUGGAGCAACGCCGCGUGCAGGAUGAAUGCCUUCGGGUUGUAAACUGCUUUUAUCUGUGACGAUAAUGACGGUAGCAGAUGAAUAAGGAUCGGCUAACUCCGUGCCAGCAGCCGCGGUCAUACGGAGGAUCCAAGCGUUAUCCGGAAUUACUGGGCGUAAAGAGUUGCGUAGGUGGCAUAGUAAGUUGGUAGUGAAAGCGUGGGGCUCAACCUCAUAUCCAUUACUGAAACUGCUAAGCUAGAGGGCGAGAGAGGUAACUAGAAUUCCUUGUGUAGGAGUGAAAUCCGUAGAUAUAAGGAGGAAUACCGAUGGCGUAGGCAGGUUACUGGCUCGUCCCUGACACUAAGGCACGAAAGCGUGGGUAGCAAACGGG
rnacentral:rRNA from 1 species